GUCCACGCCUAACGAUGUCAACUGGUUGUUGGGUCUUCACUGACUCAGUAACGAAGCUAACGCGUGAAGUUGACCGCCUGGGGAGUACGGCCGCAAGGUUGAACUCAAGGAAUUGACGGGGACCCGCACAAGCGGUGGAUGAUGUGGUUUAAUUCGAUGCAACGCGAAACCUUAACCCACCUUUGACAUGUACGGAAGUCGCUAGAGAUAGCUUCGUGCUCGAAAGAGAGCCGUAACACAGGUGCUGCAUGGCUGUCGU
rnacentral:rRNA from 1 species